UGAAAGGGAUCACGGAAAUUUACUGUCCCAGAAAAAAAUCCAGAAAUUAAUUAAUAAGUGAAAAUUCUUAUAUAUAGAAAAUAGACGAGAAGACCCUAGAAAUUUUUUAUAAAUUUUUUUAUUAAACUAUUUUGUUGGGGCGACAGGGUAACAUUUAACUUACCUAUAUUAAUAUGAAAAUGCUUAUUUGGAUAACUAAAUUACUCUAGGGAUAACAGCAUUAUUUAUAUAUAAGUUUGUGACCUCGAUGUUGGACUAGGACCUAUUUUACCUAAAAAGUAAAAUAUUUGGCUCUGUUCGAGCUUAAUUUCCUACAUGAUCUGAGUUCAAACCGGAGCUCCA
rnacentral:rRNA from 1 species